UUCUGGUCCGGUUUUGUUUACAAACAUUGACCGUACUGCACUAUAUACAAACUGAUCCAUAAACCAGUCAGUGUUGACUGAAUACUUGAAGGAUCUAGUUGCACCCCAGAGCGUCAUUGGAAAAUAUGUGAGUUGAGGAAACUAGGAAACCUGCGAAUCAUGCUCCGUUCUAGGCUUCUCCAGUGUUUAGAAUAGUAUUGGAGACACCCGGAGUAUAAGCAUAAAAGAGAACACGUAUUGCAGACACCCUGGAUGACACCCUUGAGCAUAGUAUUGGAGACACCCUAGAGUGAAGGCAUAUAAGGUACGGAUAUUGGAGACACCCUUUAGUAAAGGCAGAGGAGGUACAGAUGUUGGAGACACCCUAGA